GUCGUUUUGGCCGAAUGGUUAAGGCGUGUGCCUGCUAUGUACAUGGGGUUCCCCGCGAGAGUUUGAAUCUCUCAAGCGACG
rfam:Ipomoea nil DNA, scaffold: scaffold2749, cultivar: Tokyo-kokei standard.